CGUACGAUACGAUUUUGAUCCUGGCUCAGAACGAACGCUGGCGGCAGGCUUAACACAUGCAAGUCGAACGCUCGUAGCAAUACGGGAGUGGCGGACGGGUGAGUAACGCGUGGGAACGUGCCCUGAGGUACGGAAUAACUGCGGGAAACUGCAGCUAAUACCGUAUGAGCCCCGUGAGGGGAAAGAUUUAUCGCCUUAGGAGCGGCCCGCGUCGGAUUAGCUAGUUGGUGGGGUAACGGCUUACCAAGGCUUCGAUCCGUAGCUGGUCUGAGAGGACGAUCAGCCACACUGGGACUGAGACACGGCCCAGACUCCUACGGGAGGCAGCAGUGGGGAAUCUUGCGCAAUGGGGGCAACCCUGACGCAGCCAUGCCGCGUGAAUGAUGAAGGCCUUAGGGUUGUAAAGUUCUUUUGCCCGUGACGAUGAUGACGGUAACGGGAGAAUAAGCUCCGGCUAACUUCGUG
rnacentral:rRNA from 1 species